rnacentral:lncRNA from 1 species
UAUCUGAAGACAUUGUUUGAGGCUAUGAAAAAAUAUGAAUAAUAUUAGGCCUUGAGAUCAAAAAUCAUUUUUUACUUCCAUGGUUGUUAGCUGCCAAUAUCCCACGCACAGCUCUCAAUUUCCAAAGCAGCAGUGAAAUGCUGGAGAGAUCAGAAAAGAAGAGAACGGCAGUGUCAACUCACCUCUGGUCUCUUCUUGUUAGCAAGUUCAAGAGACACUUGGCGAUAUUGACUGCAGAAUACAAAGAUGAAAUUCAAGGGUUCCUAGAGGGUGUCUGUCCGUAGAAACAAAGGACAUCCUCAUCUUGAAAACGCUUCAUCCACCUCUUCCUUGUCUCCUCUCAAACACAUCUUGGCUCUUGUGUGGAAAUGUGUGGCCUCCCCCUCUCAGGUUGCAGCAUCGGGGGUCCUCCCUC